CUUUAAUUAAAUAAUGACCAUUCAAGUGAUCCAAAGGAAACUAGUGUAAAUCUAGUGCUGUACCCGCAACUGUGAGAUGGACAAUGCAUAUAACCACGUUAGUUUGGAAGGAUAUGCGGCGAUUGAGAUCAAGUCAGGAUAUUUUGGUGAAUGGUAUACAGGC
rnacentral:ncRNA from 2 species